GAUGAACGCUGGCGGCGUGCCUAAUACAUGCAAGUCGAGCGAACGGACGAGAAGCUUGCUUCUCUGAGGUUAGCGGCGGACGGGUGAGUAACACGUGGUUAACCUACCUAUAAGACUGGGAUAACUUUGGGAAACCGGGGCUAAUACCGGAUAAUAUUUUGAACUUGAUUGUUCAAAAGUGAAAGACGGUCUUUCUGUCACUUAUAGAUUGAUCAGCGCUGCAUUAGCAAGUUGGUAAGGUAACGGCUUACCAAGGCAACGAUGGAUAGCCGACCUGAGAGGGUGAUAGGCAACGCUGGAAUGGAGGCACGGUCCACAACACUGCGGGAGAGACAAGUAGGAGAUCUUCAGGAGUGGGAGCAGGGCGGAAGGUGGAACGCCGGGUGAGUGCUGAAGGUAUCAGGAUCGUAAAACUCUGUAAUUCGGGAGGAACAUAUGUGUAAGUAACUGUGCACAUCUUGAAGGUAACUAAUCAGAAAGCCACGGCUAAAUACGUG
rnacentral:rRNA from 1 species